rnacentral:rRNA from 1 species
AGCCUAACGGCUGAACCAGCAACUUGGAGGAAUGUAUAGCAAUAGCUACUUGUAUCAUUAAUGAUGCAAGCUCGACUAUGUUGAAUAAAGUUCUAGGUAGAAUUAUGAUAAUGACAUUGUCUGCCUAUGUGUCUUGACCAAAUUACGUGCCAGCAGUCGCGGUAAUACGUAGAAGACUAGUGUUAUUCAUGUUUAAUCGGUUUAAAGGGUACCUAGACGGUGAAUCAAGCUUUAAAUUAAAUAAGAAAAGGGACUAAUUCGCUAGAGUUACUUACGAGGGGGUAUUAAAGUACUGCUGGUGUAGAGAUGAAAUUCUGUCAUACCUCUUUUCGAAAGAAAAAUCAUGGCACAGGUAUAGGCGAAGGCAUCCCCUUAUGUGAUAACUGACGUUGAGGGACGAAGGCUUCGUGUAACAAACAGGAUUAGAUACCCUAGUAGUUGAAGCAGAAAAUGAUGAAUGUCAUAGAUUAGACGUCUAAGUUUAUUCUAUAAAUGAAAGUGUAAGCAUUCCACCUCAUGAGUAAUUUGGCAACAUUGGAAUUGAAAUCAUUAGACCGUUUCUGAAACCAGUAGUGAAGUAUGUUGUUUAAUUUGAUAAUCCGCAAAAAACCUUACCACAAUUUGAAUAUUUAUAUUCUUUAUUGUUAUCUCAUUAAUUUUCUUCCUUUUUUUUACUUGCGAAGCAUUAAAAAACUAAACAAUUAAAAACCAAAAACAGGAAAAGAGAAUAAAAUUAAUCAAGAGGCAAUAACAUAUAUCUACAAGCGUUGCACGGCUGUCUUCAGUUAAUGUCGCGAGACUUUGGUUAGUUCCAUUAAAUUAACGUAAACCCUUACUUUAUUUUUUAUAUAGAGUAGUUCCCCGCUAUAUUGGAUAUGAUAACAGGGAUCAAGACAAGUCAUCAUGGCCUAAAUAUU